UCCUUCGAGGAUUCAGGAGGAGGAGGAGCUACAGUCGGAAGUGGCGGAGAUAUUGAAGCAGUGGUAUUGUUGCCAGCUGGUGUGGAGGAGCUGCUGCUGUUAGCUGGAAGGGGCGGGGAUAUCGACGUGAGAUUCCCUUCCAUUAGCUGCCGGGAUCGCCAGCGUGACGACGCAUAACCUGAGUCAUAGGGUGCAUGGGUACUGAGGAGCAUUCUCAUACUUUGCCAGGGGCCAUACGACUUUGCCCCGGCACGCCCGCACGGCACAGGAAUCGUGAUCCAGCAAAGUUCCCGGCUGUAAGCCGCACGUGUAUAGCGAUAUAAAGGAACCAUGUAACCAACGUGUCCUCACCUUGCCGCGCUGACGAAGUCGAUGAACACAAGAGGAAAGCAGCCACCAUCAAAAGAGGGACAUGCGUCAGACGAAUCCAAGCUGAUUUUGUACGAUGAUGUGCCAAGCGACGAAGCCAUCUCUCUUGUUGGCGCAUUUGACUCGUAGUGGCUUCGUGCGGGUACACAGGCGAGUCACGGAAAGACGCAGUAAAAUCCUAGGCAAGAGUUUUUGGUCUCAGCUUUUAGCUGCAAGGCAUAGAUAAGGAAAGCUUAGACCGUCAAGACAACAGAAAUGUCAAGACACCUUCUUCAGCCUUCCCCACACAAAAUUGUAUAGUAACGAUGUACACGCAGAUAUUACAGGGGCGCUUUACAUGACCACUGCAUCGUCGCAGUGGUGUUGCCUCGUGUUCUGGUGUUUCAGGACUUGGACUUGUACGAGCACCUGCAUGUGUGUACAUGCAACUUUCGUAACGGCGUUUCACAAACCAUUAAAAUUCCAUGUUCGAAGUGUAUGAUAAUGGAUGGGAAAAUGGCCUGCUCUCAGCAGACACGCGUGGCAGACUAAUUAAUUCUACAAGGCAUACUAAAACUCCCUGCAUCAGCGAUUUUAAUUACUUCAAAUUAUUUUGACGGCACAACCAUAAAUUUAAUCGCGUAAGUGCUCUCAGGUUGUUCAAAACGACGGGCUUUACAUUCAAUCCAGCCCUUCUGUCGGGGAGCACACUUAUCGAAAGACGGAAAAGCUUAUGGAAACCUAAAACAUUGCUCCUCUCUGUAGCAAACAUCGUGUCGCCACAGGUAUCCCCAAAGCAAGCACGGAUCGGUGCUAAUUCUCAGGUUUCCCUCAAGCGUUUUCUGCAUCCUUCGGCCCAAUGGAGUCCAACUAAAUCAACGUCACUCACCACGCGCAUGCAGGGGCACGAAGAGCCAUCGUGGACUUGGGCCAUAAGGCUAUUCAUUUGGAACCCAACCCACCAGAGACACGCACACCGCAUCUGUGCGCUUGGCAGCGUCCCGAUACGUCGGCAUCAGCUGAUUUAUUGUGAAAAC
rnacentral:lncRNA from 1 species